rnacentral:rRNA from 1 species
GUUAGGAAUAUUGGACAAUGGGCGCAAGCCUGAUCCAGCCAUGCCGCGUGAGUGAUGAAGGCCUUCGGGUUGUAAAGCUCUUUAGCCGAUGAUUAUAAUGACUGUAGUCGGAAAAUAAGCCCCGGCUAACUUCGUGCCAGCAGCCGCGGUAAUACGAAGGGGGCGAGCGUUAUUCGGAAUCACUGGGCGUAAAGCGUGCGUAGGCGGCUUUGCAAGUUGGGAGUGAAAGCCCAGGGCUCAACCCUGGAAUUGCUCUCAAAACUGCAAGGCUCGAAUUCGGGAGAGGAUAGCGGAAUUGUCAGUGUAGCAGUGAAAUGCGUAGAUAUUGACAGGAACACCAGUGGCGUAAGCGGCUAUCUGGACCGAUAUUGACGCUGAGGCACGAAAGCGUGGGGAGCAAACAGGAUUAGAUACCCGAGUAGUCC